rnacentral:rRNA from 1 species
ACAGCAGUAGCCGCGGUAAUACAGAGGGUGCGAGCGUUAAUCGGAUUUACUGGGCGUAAAGCGUGCGUAGGCGGCUUUUUAAGUCGGAUGUGAAAUCCCUGAGCUUAACUUAGGAAUUGCAUUCGAUACUGGGAAGCUAGAGUAUGGGAGAGGAUGGUAGAAUUCCAGGUGUAGCGGUGAAAUGCGUAGAGAUCUGGAGGAAUACCGAUGGCGAAGGCAGCCAUCUGGCCUAAUACUGACGCUGAGGUACGAAAGCAUGGGGAGCAAACAGGAUUAGAUACCCGUGUAGUACCUGUCUCUUAUAC